rnacentral:rRNA from 1 species
CGCAUAGUAUCUGUGGAUUAAAGGUGGCUUUUGGGCUGUCGCAGAUGGAUGAGCCUGCGUUGGAUUAGCUAGUUGGUGGGGUAAGGGCCUACCAAGGCUACGAUCCAUAGCUGAUUUGAGAGGAUGAUCAGCCACAUUGGGACUGAGACACGGCCCAAACUCCUACGGGAGGCAGCAGUGAGGAAUAUUGGACAAUGGGGGCAACCCUGAUCCAGCAAUGCCAUGUGUGUGAAGAAGGCCUUAGGGUUGUAAAGCACUUUAGUUGGGGAAGAAAGCUUUGAGGUUAAUAGCCUUGAGGAAAAGGACGUUACCCAAAGAAUAAGCACCGGCUAACUCCGUGCCAGCAGCCGCGGUAAUACGGGGGGUGCAAGCGUUAAUCGGAAUUACUGGGCGUAAAGGGUCUGUAGGUGGUUUGUUAAGUCAGAUGUGAAAGCCUAGGGCUCAACCUUGGAACUGCAUUUGAUACUGGUAAACUAGAGUACGGUAGAGGAAUGGGGAAUUUCUGGUGU